GCCAUUUUGGUGUAGUGGUUGGAGCGUUGGACUACAACUCUGGAGACCAGGGUUCGAUUCCCCACUUGGCC